rnacentral:rRNA from 1 species
CCCCCCACAAUGUCUACUAGUUGUCGGGUCUUAUUGACUUGGUAACGCAGCUAACGCGUGAAGUAGACCGCCUGGGGAGUACGGUCGCAAGAUUAAAACUCAAAGGAAUUGACGGGGACCCGCACAAGCGGUGGAUGAUGUGGAUUAAUUCGAUGCAACGCGAAAAACCUUACCUACCCUUGACAUGGCUGGAAUCCUCGAGAGAUUGAGGAGUGCUCGAAAGAGAACCAGUACACAGGUGCUGCAUGGCUGUCGUCAGCUCGUGUCGUGAGAUGUUGGGUUAAGUCCCGCAACGAGCGCAACCCUUGUCAUUAGUUGCUACGAAAGGGCACUCUAAUGAGACUGCCGGUGACAAACCGGAGGAAGGUGGGGAUGACGUCAAGUCCUCAUGGCCCUUAUGGGUAGGGCUUCACACGUCAUACAAUGGUACAUACAGAGCGCCGCCAACCCGCGAGGGGGAGCUAAUCGCAGAAAGUGUAUCGUAGUCCGGAUUGUAGUCUGCAACUCGACUGCAUGAAGUUGGAAUCGCUAGUAAUCGCGGAUCAGCAUGUCGCGGUGAAUACGUUCCCGGGUCUUGUACACACCGCCCGUCACACCAUGGGAGCGGGUUUUACCAGAAGUAGGUAGCUUAACCGCAAGGAGGGCGCUUACCACGGUAGGAUUCGUGACUGGGGUGAAGUCGUAAGGGGGGGCCCCCAAAAAAAAAAAAAAAAAAAA